GUGCCAGCAGCCGCGGUAAUACAGAGGUCCCAAGCGUUACUGAGAAUCACUGGGUUUAAAGGGUGCGUAGGUGGUCCGUUAAGUCAGUUGUGAAAUCCCCGGGCUCAACCCGGGAACUGCUUCUGAUACUGGCGGACUUGAGGCCAGUAGAGGUCACUGGAACUGACGGUGGAGCGGUGAAAUGCGUAGAUAUCGUCAGGAACGCCGGUGGUGAAGACGGGUGACUGGGCUGGUUCUGACACUGAGGCACGAAAGCGUGGGGAGCGAACGGGAUUAGAUACCCCGGUAGUCC
rnacentral:rRNA from 1 species